CGGGGCUUAAAGUCUUGUAAUUGGAAUGUUGGGAAUUUAAACCUCUUCCAGAGUAUCAAUUGGAGGGCAAGUCUGGUGCCAGCAGCCGCGGUAAUUCCAGCUCCAAUAGCGUAUAUUAAAAUUGUUGCAGUUAAAAAGCUCGUAGUUGAAUUUCUGCUGCAUUGCUUGUGUCCCUCUGGGGUCUGUGCAUGUGGCUUUUUUCGGACGGAGUUUCUUUGUCUGAAUGUUUACUUUGAGAAAAUUAGAGUGCUCAAAGCAGGCUUUCGCCUUGAAUAGUUUAGCAUGGAAUAAUAAAGUAGGACUUUGGUUCUAUUUUGUUGGUUUUAGGUACCAAAGUAAUGGUUAAUAGGAACAGUUGGGGGCAUUCGUAUUUAACUGUCAGAGGUGAAAUUCUUAGAUUUGUUAAAGACGAACUACUGCGAAAGCAUUUGCCAAGGAUGUUUUCAUUAAUCAAGAAC
rnacentral:rRNA from 1 species